GGACCAUACCUAGUGUUGGUGACUACUCCCACUGCUAUAAAGAUAUCAAGACUUACUGACUCCAUCUGUAAGGAGAAAGCUGGCCAUUCAAGCUCCCUGAGGAGAAGAAUCCUGGGUUGGCCCCAGGAACAGUUAUGUUCAAGCUGCCUAUGAUUGCAUAGCCCGAAGUGUCAAUGUUACCCUUCAUUUCUACAUUUAAUUUAAGAUCAUUUUUAGUUUUUACUAAGAGAAGAAAAUCUGGAAGUCAUAGCACACAGAACAAAAAUUUCUUGGAAACAGGUCCUCCAUGUGUUGAAGGACCCUGGAAGAAGCAGCCUGCCACUCACUGUGUAGAUUUCAUCAGAAACAUGGAAGCUCAAGGAAGGCACCAGGAGUCUCACUGCUAGCAGAUGAAUUGUGCAGA
rnacentral:lncRNA from 1 species